rnacentral:rRNA from 1 species
CUUAAAACUCAAAGGAAUAGACGGGAGCUCGCACAAGCGGUGGAGCGCGUGGCUUAAUUCGUCGCUAAGCGAUAACCUUACCAAGGCUAGAAACCAUACUGCACGCUCUGGGAAACCAGAGAAUCCUUCGAGGGUGUAUGGCAGGUGAUGCAUGGCCGUCGUCAGUUCGUGGCUUGAGCUGUUCCCUUAAGUGGGGAAACGAACGCAACCCUCGUUGCCUGUUAUAUGUGUCAGGCGAGACUGCUCCCUCACGGGAGAGGAAGGUGAGGAUGACGCCAGGUCAGCAUGUCCCUUGAUGCCUUGGGCUGCACACACGCUACAAUGGGUAGUACAACGGGAAACGAAGGGGCAACCCGGAGCAAAAUCCUUAUAAAACUAUCCCCAGUUCGGAUUGUGGUCUGCAACUCGACCACAUGAAGUCGGAAUCGCUAGUAAUCGCGGGACAGCAUACCGCGGUGAAUACGUUCCCGAGCCUUGUACUCACCGCCCGUCAAGUCAGGGGAGUCGGGAGUGCCCGAAG